UUGCUUAUAAGGUUUUGGAUCUCAGAUUCCUGUCGAGGUAUAUCAAGAAUCAGCUCAUGGUGUCAUGCCUACCAAAUGAAGGAAGCCCCAAGUCAGUUGGCGAUAAAAGUGUUGAAGGUGUAUCUUCUAUCUCAAAGGGUGUUCUUGCAGCCGAUUCAAAUCGAGAGACGCUGCACAAUGUCAAAGUUGACAUUCAAAAAGAAAGAACAAAGAUGACCAUUACCAGAAGGGCAAGGCAACAAUGGCGAAAUUCUUGGAUUGUGAUAUAAAGAAAAUCAAUGACAAAAAUUGGUUCUACCUUUUAGCAAUGGAUGGUCAAAUGUGGAAUGACGAGGUGCGAUAUACCUUAUUUUUUCACAUACAGUUUAAAGUUGUAUGUAUUCAAUAAUAACUGUUUGUAGUCUCUGUUAUUGUAGCACAUUGAUGUCAUGUUUUAUUACUUCUGAAAGAAAUCCAAGUAUGAUACAAACAGCCCAUACAAGUUUACCGUUGUCGACUACCUUUUCAAGUCAAAGAUUGAUGCUAUUCACAAAGCGUAUGCCGACCCGGAUGGUGCCUUAAGCCUUGGUCAACAAGAAGAUGUUUUAUCUGAAUAUGUUAAAGGCCACCGGUUGCUAUGCACUCUCCCAUGGCAUUUGGUUGACCAUGUAUUCAUUCCAAUCAACGUUGAAGAAAGAAAUCACUGGUUGUUGGCAGUUCUGUCAUUAUUGGACAGACGGAUAUACGUAUAUGACUCGUACAGAGCUGCAGGUCACGAUGCAGCUGUUACGUCUGAAAUUGGCAAGCUCGCCUCGCUAUUGCCAUUGUUCUUACAUAUCACAGAUUUCUAUCAAGAAAGGCAAGGAAUUGAUUGGAAUCAUCACCCUGCAUACAAAGGCAAAGCCCCGACUGAUAAAUUAGAUGUCGUGUUUGUUGACAAUCUGCCACAACAAAGGCCGGGGAGCAUGUACUGAUGUUUCUCUUUUUUUCUAUAGUUACAUAUAUUCAGAUAAUUCAUCUUUUUCAUAUACAUUUUUGUUUUUUCUUUCCUGUGUGUAGGGAUUGCUAGAUGUAUGUGGCUGCAUUCGCGGAGUAUUUGAGUCAAGGAGAAAGUAUUCCAACCGGAGACCUUGAUGCUGAAUUAAUCCGUAUGAGAUAUGGUGCACUUCUGUGGGAAUACACUCAGCGGAAGUUAGAAGCCAAUGCCGAAAGCGAUAACGAGGCACCUCGAAAGCCAGCCAGGCCAAA